rnacentral:rRNA from 2 species
UACGGGGGGGGCAAGCGUUGUUCGGAAUUAUUGGGCGUAAAGGGUUCGUAGGCGGUCGACUCAGUCAGACGUGAAAUCCCUCGGCUUAACCGGGGAACUGCGUCUGAUACUGGUCGGCUUGAGUGCAGGAGAGGAAUGCGGAAUUCCAGGUGUAGCGGUGAAAUGCGUAGAUAUCUGGAGGAACACCGGUGGCGAAGGCGGCAUUCUGGACUGUAACUGACGCUGAGGAACGAAAGCCAGGGGAGCAAACGGG